UCACUCAAUCUCUUUUAUCAAGUAACUGUCUGAGACUAUUCCAUACAUACUCUAGUGUAUUCUUUAUAAUGUGUCUUUAUUGUGUUAACUUUUCUUAUUUAGUUUAAAACGUACAUUUGUUAAAAUAAUUAGCACUUUUCAUAGUAAUAAAUACGUUUUUAUUAAACAAUUCUCUUUCAUUAACAUACCUACUAUAAACACUUUUAACAACUACAAGUUAACAAUCAAGAUUCUAUCAUCAUCAAUUAUACAUAUGGUUUGAUAAACAUUGUUAUCAAGACUCAAAGAAAAGCUCAGAUUAAAUGGUAGACAUGGCUCCUGAGUGUCAUAUUAAAACAGAAAACAAUUGGAAAUAUUUAUCAUUCGUAAUUGUUGUACUGUUAGCGUCUUAUUUAAGGUUUGGUUUCUGUGCCUUAGAAACUAAAUAUUAUUGAUUUUUUAUGCAUUAAAUUUGACGAUUGUUGAUGAAGAGUAUAAUUAUUCAACUAAUGAAAGGCCUAUGUUAAAAUUAAUACGCUCAAUGAAUGUGGUUUUGAAUUGAGAGUAAAAGUGAAAAAUUGAAUAAUAAGUAAAUAUAUAUAAACUACUUAUAAAUGAGAGUAACGUAAUACUUGUGCAUCUUAAUGUACGCACUCUUAGUUUCAAUUCAAGGAUCUACUUUUAUUACUUCAUUUCUAUUUCACUGUAUUGCGCCAACAGUCCAACAAGAUUGUUGACCCAGUUAAUGAAAUCAUAAUAAUUCAAAAUUUAUAUUAUUAUCUAUUCCAUUCUACCAUACAACUAGUCACCGGCACAAUAUUUGCUGGAUCAAUUUUCCAACAUGAAUCAACGAAUGAAAACCAUCAAUUUAGUGAUCAUCGUGUUCUUACAAAUUAUAAGUACAGCAUUUUCUGUGGAGCGUGAGUUUAACCAAACCGAUGUCACUCGGGUUGUUCAGUUUAGUAAUAGUUUAAUUCCUCCUUUAUUUUCUUAUUAUUCUAAAGGACGAGAAAAUCUUGUUCUCGCUCCUUUCGGAGUAGCUACUAAUGUAGCUAUGAUGCUUGAGUGUCUUCAGGGUCGAGCAGCAGACGAAAUCAUUACAUUGUUUCGAUUACAAGCCAAAGGUUCGAGACAACAGCUUCGAAGAGGGUUUAAAGCUAUUCUAGACAAAUUUGAGAAUGAAUUGGAAGGUGAUUUUGCUGGUUCCUACAAUAAGGCCUCUUUGACGAGUUCACGUAUUAUGCCAUCAUCAUUUGUCAAUAAACUUUCCAAAUAUUACCAAGCUAACGUUACUACUGUGCGGGGUAAAAACUCUGAUAAUAUUACAACUGAUAUUUUAGAAUUACGUAGCGAUACGGGACUUAUUAGUCAUUGGAAAAAUUACCAAAAUUUUGCUACCAACACAUAUUUAUCAUAUUUACCAUCUGCUCCUUUUACGCUUGCCAAUGGUUCAAUUGUUUAUGUUCCUAUGAUACCUCAAGGUGGACAGUAUAAAAUUGGAUACGUUGAACGACUCAAAUGCCUAGCCGUUGAACUUAUGUUUGAAACACCUACUGUGAGCAUGUUAAUUAUGAUGCCUGACAAUGUUGAUGGUUCUGAAUUAUUAAUUGAUCGAUUGGCCAGAGAUAAUUUCCUUGAUAUCUUAAAUUCGUUAGGUCAACAAGAAACUCAGAUAUUAGUACCCCAACUUGCAGUAUUUACCAAUGCUCUUGACUUAGAACCAUUCUUCACUAAAUUCGGGGUCAAAACAGUUUUCAACAAGACAAUUGAAACAGUUAAUAGUACAAAUAUAAAUAGCUUUAAUAACAACACUAUGAAUGGAAGUAAGAGCAACGGAAGCAAGUUACCCAAAUCCACUUUAAUUUCGCUGAAGCAAAAUGCUUACUUCUCAAUGUCAUUUAUCACAAUAAACUCAGUUGGUUCUGUAGGUACAAAAUUAGGAAUACAUCCAAAUACAAACAGAAAGAAACGGGAAAUACUUUCCAAAAUUAUAUUUGAUAAGCCAUUUGUAUUUUUAAUACUAAAUAAGGAUACUGGAUUGAUUCUAUUAGCUGGUAAAAUUACUAAUCCUACGCAAGUGCCAUCAAAUUCCUAAACAUAUGAUCAUAAUUUAGUCAAGUCAUUUCUGAAAAUGAUAGGAAAAGUAUUAAUGUAAAUCAUAUAAUUUACUGAAUUAUCAUAGUAAUUUUUCCAAAAAUAAAUACACUAUCACAUGAAAAACAAAUUACUGAUGUAAAAAUUAGUAAAUUUAGAUUGUAAAUUAUGUAUUUUUAUUUAUUUUUAAUAAACCAAUUUAUAGAUAAAAAACAUAUAUAUAUUUUUUUUAUGUAAGAAUAGGGUGAUAGAUCCCAAGAAAAAAAUACAAUUUCUUUUACAUUAAAUGGAAGCAAUGAGCAUUUUUUUACGUAUAUCCCCUUAGGACACUAUCCCAUUACACCACUACAAAAAUUUCUUUUUCAAAUAUACUAAUAGGAUCAUGGAAAAAAUGAAUUUUGAACAAAAUUUAAUAAUCUUUGUACUUAUAAACUUAUAAUAAUUUUUCGACUAAAAAAACCAUAACCGUGUUUGUCAAUUACAGCUCCUCUCCGAAAAAGGCCAAGAUGCUGAAUUGAUUAACUUUGUUCUGUAUUUCAAUAUACUUCAAAGAAAGAUUGAGGACAUUUUUUUCACAAUUUUAUUUUUAAUAGCUCCAUAAAUUUUCGUGCUCAAAAUCAUUUUAAAAGUAAGAUUUUUGGUUGUCACAGGAAUUUUGGAGAAGCUCAUGCCGCUCGACCACUUUACAUAAAUACGUAUCAAAUAUAAUUUUAUUAAAGAGUGAAUUCUCUGAAAUUAUAAGUAUAUUAUGCUCCUUUAAUAAAAAUCAAGCUUUGUAUUUUAAAUAUUAGAAUGAUUUAAAAUCCUAGUGAAUUUUAUUACUGUAAGGUUUAUUUUAUUUUUUAUGCCAAAAUUCUUGUAAUAUCAGCAACAUAUAUAUUUCAAUAUUAAAUAUACCAAACAUUUCUUACAUAAAUGGAAUUUCUGAUUGCUUGGACUUAAUCAAUGGUCUUGUUUAACUAAUAUAUUUGUAACUGUAAAAUUAUAAUAUUAAUAAACUUAAAACUAUUAUGUUUUACCAAUAUUUCGCAAGGCCUCGGUAGCGCAGUAGGCAGCGCGUAAGUCUCAUAAUCUUAAGGUCGUGAGUUCGAUCCUCACCCGGGGCAUUUAGUUUUUGUAAUUUUUACAAAUUUUUUGCUAUAGCAAAAUAUAAUGCAAUUAAAAAUUUAUUUAUUUCAUGUAUUUAUGUUUUGUAUAAUACAUCAUCUUUUUACUCGUAAAAAAAUGUAGCUAUUAUUUCAUUAAAACCCUUUAUUACUUUUUUUUUCUAUGCUAUUAAUGUUUUAGUUUUACAAAAUACACUAUAGUAAACUGGGGUAAUAGUCUAUACAGGGUAUGAAUCUAAUAAAUAAAUAAUUUUAUUUUAUAGUUAUGAGCUUAACAUUUAUUAUUUAAUGGCUGAUAAAUAUAAAACCUUGGAACAUUUUUAUAUGUAUUUUU